CGAUGGUUCAUUCAAAUUUCUGCCCUAUCAACUUUCGAUGGUAGGAUAGUGGCCUACCAUGGUUUUGACGGGUAACGGGGAAUUAGGGUUCUAUUCCGGAGAGGGAGCCUGAGAAACGGCUACCACAUCCAAGGAAGGCAGCAGGCGCGCAAAUUACCCAAUCCCAAUACGGGGAGGUAGUGACAAUAAAUACUGAUACAGGGCUCUUUUGGGUCUUGUAAUUGGAAUGAGAACAAUUUAAAUCCCUUAACGAGGAACAAUUGGAGGGCAAGUCUGGUGCCAGCAGCCGCGGUAAUUCCAGCUCCAAUAGCGUAUAUUAAAGUUGUUGCAGUUAAAAAGCUCGUAGUUGAACUUUGGGUUUGGCUGAUCUGUCCUCCUAAUCGAGCGCACGGAUUCGGUCGGACCUUUCCUUCUGGGGAACCCUAUGCCCUUCACUGGGCGUAGUGGGGAACCAGGACUUUUACCUUGAACAAAUUAGAGUGUUCAAAGCAGGCCUUUGCUCGAAUACCUUAGCAUGGAAUAAUAGAAUAGGACAUCGGUCUAUGGAGGUUCUAGGACCGUUGUACUGGAUUCACUAGGGGAUAGUCGGGGGGCGUCAGG
rnacentral:rRNA from 1 species